UGGGGAAUUUUGGACAAUGGGCGCAAGCCUGAUCCAGCAAUGCCGCGUGAGUGAAGAAGGCCUUCGGGUUGUAAAGCUCUUUCAGUCGAGAAGAAAAGGUUGUGACCAAUAAUCACAACUCAUGACGGUAUCGACAGAAGAAGCACCGGCUAACUACGUGCCAGCAGCCGCGGUAAUACGUAGGGUGCGAGCGUUAAUCGGAAUUACUGGGCGUAAAGGGUGCGCAGGCGGUUUUGUAAGUCAGAUGUGAAAUCCCCGGGCUUAACCUGGGAACUGCGUUUGAAACUACAAGACUAGAGUGUGGCAGAGGGGGUGGAAUUCCAUGUGUAGCAGUGAAAUGCGUAGAGAUAUGGAGGAAUACCGAUGGCGAAGGCAGCCCCCUGGGUCGAUACUGACGCUCAUGCACGAAAGCGUGGGGAGCAAACAGGAUUAGAUACCCCCGUAGUCCCUGAGCGGGCUGGCAAGGCGCAU
rnacentral:rRNA from 1 species